GACGAACGCUGGCGGCGUGCUUAACACAUGCAAGUUGAACGGAAAGGCCCAGCUUGCUGGGUGCUCGAGUGGCGAACGGGUGAGUAACACGUGGGUGAUCUGCCUUGCACUCUGGGAUAAGCCUGGGAAACUGGGUCUAAUACCGGAUAUGACCUCUGACUGCAUGGUUGGGGUGGAAAGCUUUUGUCGGUGUGAGAUGGGCCGCGGCCUAUCAGCUUGUUGGUGAGGUAAUGGCUCACCAAGGCGACGACGGGUAGCCGACCUGAGAGGGUGAUCGGCCACACUGGGACUGAGACACGGCCCAGACUCCUACGGGAGGCAGCAGUGGGGAAUAUUGCACAAUGGCGCAAGCCUGAUGCAGCGACGCCGC
rnacentral:rRNA from 1 species